AACAUUUACAGCCUGACUCUGCAGAAAAGGAUGGCAAAUUCCUGCUUGGAUACACCGCAGUUCUUCUGUGUGUUUCUAAUAAACAUGACGGCUACACUGAAAUGUUCACAGCACGCAGAUCCCCAUUCUCAAGCACUAUUCAGAUUCAACCGAGGGUGCGACAUUUGAGCCUGAGAGCCGGUGGCCCUCACUCCGAAUUUCAGGGCCGGAGUCCCAGCGGCCCACCUGAACUCCCUCGGCUGGAGCACGAGCCCGGGGCUGCUGGCUCCUCCUGCCCUGGGGUCGGCUGACUUUUAUAAAGAUUCUCCUCGGGACAGAGGUUUUGGUCUCAGGACUGCAAAACCACGGUCUGUGGGGCAACAGUCUCGGCGCAGCAUCCAAUCCAGGAAGCACUUUUGGCCUUCCUUUCCUGCUCAGUAGUCGUUGCCAAACAGCACUGCUCAAAGCAGUGCCUGGGCGAUCCGGGCCUCUCACAUUUCAAGGCCUGGGCAGCCUUGCGUUUGCUUGGAAAGGCAGCCGUGGCCACCCAAGCGAAGGCCACAGCCGUCUGCUAUCACGCUGCUGAGUCAACACAAACGUGAGUGACCGUGAAGCAACUUCCAGGGGCGAGGCAGGGUAGCCCCAGCAAAAGUAGGCAUCCGGGUGACGGGCUCCCCAAGCGAGGGCGCAGCCCACCGAGGCAGGGACCUCAGCCCCGCGCUUCCUGCAGGAGCAGCGGCGACGGGAGCCAGCCAGCGCCUGCCCCGUCCGCGCCCGGCCGGAGACCGAUUCAGCAAAGCCGCCAGGCCCCGGUGCCCGCUUCCGUCCGCCGCCCCGCCUCAAGCCCGUCACCCAGGACCCCGCGAUUUCCCGCCCUCCGAGCCGACCCCCCCGCACCCCUGCAUUAACCGUGUGCACCCUCCGUUCCGUUCGGCGCCUGCGCCCCGGUCGCCCGAGCUCCUCCUCAGGGCUUCAACUUUGCCCGCCUGCUGGUCUCACUCGCGCUCGGUCCAACCUCGCAUUCGGCGGCCCGCGGGGAGGUCUUCCACGGGCCUCGGUUCUUGAUGUGUCCAUUCCAGGAGUCAGAGCACACAGCUACUCUCCAGAGAAUCAGUGCCCAGGACGUUGGGGCUGGGGGACCUGCUGCAGCAAGGACCUCGCAGUGGGGGCUCGCACCUGCGCAGUGAGUGCAGCACCCCUCCUUGGUGGCUCCAGCUGGCGGUGGCCUGCGCCCGGCUGUCGUGGUGGCUGCAGCAGGGUGCAGAAGCCUGGCUCCCGGGACGGCCCCACCCCCCCCCCAACUCGGGCGUCCAGCGGAACGGCUGGGGGCUCCGGACCCCGCGACCCGGCCACCCCCUCGCCGACUCUGCGGACCCACCAUGCCCUCACCUCAGCAUGCCACGGAAGAGAAGCUCAGGAUCGUCCAAGUUCAGGGUGUUCGAGUUGCUUGGAGAGGUUUGGAAAGCAAAGAAUAAAUGACACAGCAAUGCAUAGUGUGUUCAUCUCCUCCCCGGUGCAAGUGUCCAGAGCUCCUGUCCCGCACUCAUGUGGUGCACGGUCUACAAGGACGGCUGGGCAGGCAGAGCAGAGCAGCUCGGUGCUACAGCCCAGUGCCCUGGCUCGGAGGCACAGCUGAGCUUUACAGCUCAGUGUGGCAGCUCUGGGUCGCACCUCACAUAAUUUGAAGACUUGAGAAACCAAAGGUCACUCAAAGAGAUGCAGAAAAACCUUCAUUACUCCAGUGGGUUUUCAGAGUUUUGCCAGAAGUGAAAGCCUCCUUAUAUAGGGAUCUACAGGGUAGGCGGCCAUGCUCACUGAAGCAGAGGGUGGGGUUAUGGAACAUUCCCGAAAGACAUGCUGUGUGAGCAUGCUCACUGAAGCAGAGGGGUGGGGUUACGGAACAUUCCUGAAAUGUCACACGGUUCACAGUCACAAAAUAUUUUGAUACAUUGGCACAAACUGUUACAUUUCUGGAACAAAACAUUUUGUGGAGAAAAAAACAUGAAGGCAAAGGGAAGUCAAAGGCCUAUUUUUUUGUGUAUUGUUUCUCUAGCAUAAGUUCGGUACUUAAGUUUUGUUAAAGAAACUGGAUAGAGUUCAAGUCAUAUGAAUUUGAAAUAUGUAGCUUUCUAGGUAAAGACUCUCUUUCCUUCAGGAAAUGGCACUCAGAAAAAAAAGAAGCUUAAAUUAAAAAGACACUGAUAGAUUUCCUUCCAAUUUAGGGUGCUGCUGUAUAUAAUAGGUGCCUUCUUCCCAGCAUGCCCCUAGUACCCCCAAAAGAGUACCCUAACACUCGCUCUCCUCCUGGCAGCCAGUGGCGCCCCAGGCUCCUCCAGUCCCCAGCCAGGACCUCACCCAACCCACCCCAGCUCCCAUCAGAAGCGCUUCCUGCCCGGCCCCCUUGCUCUGUCUCUUCUUUGUUCAGAGACAGCCUGGCAGAUUGUCCCUGCAAGAAAGGCUUGUUGUGGUCUGGUCUGGUCUUAGUUUUCGGCUUUUUUACCUGACAUAUCUGGUGCUGAAACCCAGAAGGUAGGCAGUCGAUUAAGUGACAAUCCCAGCGGGUCAGCAUCAAUUGGCCUUUUGGCCUUCUCCUCUGGACCACAUCUGCUGAGCCGGGACCUUAUCGGGGCUCUCUGCCUUUGCCAUUGCUGAUGCUGCACAUCCACACAGGUCACCAGUCUCUGGGUGAGUGGUAGGCAGUUCAGCCUUCUUCUCAUUGGGUCCUCUGUCUCGUUCUCGUUCUCUCCCUCCGGGGACUUCUCAGAAAUCCAAGCGCUUGGUCAGAGAGUCCCCACGGAUGCUGGGCCCAGGACCAUGCCCCUGGGGGAUGCCCCAUUGGACGGCUUCUCUCAUUCUCUCCCUCCAGGAGACUCACCUGGUGAUUGUCAAAGGAGAUGAGGACGCUUCUCCCCUUUGUCCUUCUCCCAUGGAGCUGCCUCCUCCUCACCUGCUCUAACAUGGGAGCCCAACAAUCCAACCCCCCCCCCCAAUACCUCUAGGCUGCCUCCUGGCACAACUCAGGGCCCUUGGAUUGUUGGGACCAGACUUUUUAAGCCAAAAAGUCUUCUUUUCUAUUACAACCAGAUUUGGCCUCAAUACAAAUUAGACAAUGGGUCUCAAUGGCCCAAAAAUGGAACUUUUGAUUUUAACCUACUGCCUGAUUUACACAAUUUCUGUCAACACGAUGGCAAAUGGUCAGAAAUCCCCUACCUACAAGCCUUCUUCUAUCUGUGCUCUCAACCUGUCCUGGGUCAAACCUGCUUGCCUUCUCAGGUACUUCUAACCCACACUCCAUAGCCCACCCCUCCUGAUUCCACCCUUCCUGACUCCAACACGUUCAAUCCAGCUGAUCACUCAUGUCUCACACCUCCCCAACCUUAUAACCCUAUAAGCUCUUCUUCCAUCUCUUCAUGUGCUUCUCUGUCUCCAUCACCUUGUGACCCUUCCUUGUCUCCCCCCUCAUCUCUGCCACCUUGCAUUUCCCCACCUGCACCUGUUCUCGAUACCCACCCUUCCAACAUCAGCCCCGGCCACCCAGUUGCCUCUCUGAGAGGUUGCCAGGACCCAGGGCAUUAUUAGAGUACAAUGUCCCCUUCUCUUUCUCCGGUCUUUCUCAGUUUGAAAAAUGCUUAGGCUCCUUCUUCUCUGAUCCUGAUGUCUAUAUCAAAGAAUUCCAUUACUUGACUCUGUCCCAUGAUCUGACUUGACACGAUAUCUAUAUGAUGCUGAUUUGUACCCUCCCCCAGGACAAGAAAAGAGUUUGGGUGGUGGCCCAGACCACAGCAGAUACAUUUUAUGCUGCUGAUAACACCAAGCCAGUGGGAGCACAGGCCGUCCUGGAGGAGACCCAGAUAGAGGCCACAGACACCAUAUGGCUCCCUGCCUCAUAAAGGGUUUAAAAAGGACAGCUCACAAGUCUGUUAACUUUGAUAAGACUAAAAAAUAAAAAAAUAAAAAAUCUCUCAGCCCCUGAUAUUAAGAGAAAGUGAAAAAAGGUCAAGGAGGGUCGAGCAGGGCUUGCACUCAGAUUUAAAAAACUGAAAAAAAAAGUAAGUGAUGGAUUAAAAACAGCUAGAGAAGCUCUGAAGAACAUAAAACAAACUAGUGAGAAAAAACACUCCUGACUUUAAAAGCCAAGGCGAGUGCUGUGCUAUCCCAAAAUGAAGCCAGAGAAACUACACUGUGCUCUACCAGAUGUCAAGAGAUUUUACACAAAAA
rnacentral:lncRNA from 1 species